AGAGGGUCUGCAUGUCGGGGGUCUGACCGGGAGCGGGGGGUGACGUCGCUGAGCAGUCUGGAGCGGGAAAACCAGCAGCUCAGACAGGAAGUGAACCAGAUGAGGUCCCGCCUCCAGGAGGGAACUCCGCCUCCCCCGGCUAAGGGCGGCCAAUCACAGUCCACGUGGCUCGGGUACGUCGGAGACCAACAACCAAACGAUGAACGAUAGUAAUAUACCGACACUGACAAGAGAGAUGUCUAUGAUGUGUAUAUGACCAGCGUGUUGUUGGUUUGACCCCCAGCAGUGGAGGCGGAGCGGGGAGGGAGGAGGAGGAGGAGGAGGAGGUGCAGGCGAUGAAGGCCAAGCAGCAGUCGACCCCCCCGCCCUACGGGGAGGGGCUCCACAGAGUCCCGGUCCCUCCAGACCUCCUCUCCCCCGGGUCCCAUCAGCCCCACCGUGUCCCUGCUCCUCCCUCCUCCUCCCCCUCCUCCUCCUCCUCCUCCCCCUCCUCAUGGCGGGGGAGGAGGGUGAGGACGGGUCGGGAGGAGGGUGUCGCCGGGGGGAGGUACUCCUCCAGCUCCGAGGAGGUGCUGCUGGACCCCCUGGGGGGUGACGACGAGGAGACUGCGCUGGCGGCGGCGGCGGCGGAGGGCGUGGUCGCCCGCUUCCUGGAGGGCGAGACGCUGCGGUCGGAGGAGCUGCUACUGCGGCUGGAGACCCACGUCCAGGGGCUGAGGGAGGACCACGCCCGCACCGCCCGCAGGAAGUGGAGCACAAUGGAGGCGAACCACCACAGACAAAGUCAGGCUGCAGGAGCCAGCGUUGGGGAGGGACGGCUCUGCCUCCGUCCAGGCUGUCUGACACCCACGGCUUCACCUCCUCCACCUCCUCCACCUCCUCCACCACCAGCACAUCCACCAUGUCCUACCUACACCAUCUCCAAAACCACAUCUACUUCCAACACCCUCUCCGCCUCCAGCAACACCACCACCUCCACCACCAGUACAUCCACCACCUCCACCCUCCGCCACCACCACCACAACCUGCUCGGAAUCCUACACCUCUACCAGCCCCACCCCCACCCAACACCACAACCACCACCCCCAACACCUACACCUCCACCACCACCACUAGCUCCUCCUACAACACCAUCACCCCUUCUACCUCCGCGAUCAUCUCCAUCACCCACUACACCACCCCUUCCACCACCACCUCCACUGCCGUUACCCCCUCUCCUCGACCAACCCCUCCUCCCCACCCCCAGACUGUUCACCAGCAGAAGGGCUGAGUGGAGGGGGUGGCGGUGGGGGUGGAGGUGGUGGUGUCUCCCCUCCACCUGCCUGGGGUGGUUUCCGGGUCACCCAGCUCCCUGCCGUCCAUCUCCUCUCCUGGCUGAUGGAUGUCCUCCUCCUCCUCCUCCUCCUCCUCCUCCUCCUCCUCUUAUCAGAGCCGUCGCACUGAUCUCCCGGCCAGCUGUCCUCCCCUCAGCCUGGCAGGGCUGGUGGGGGAGAGAGAGGGGGAGAGAGGGUGGAGGAGAGAGAGAGGGUGGAGGAGUAGGGCGGUGGUGGAGGAGGAUUGGUGUGGUGGAAAUCAAGGGUGGUGGAGUGAGAACGUGGAGGAGAGAGGAGAAAGAAGGUGGUGGGGGAGGACUGGCGUGGUGAAGAGAGGGUGGAGGAGGUGGCUCAGACUGACAGCUGUAGCUCUGGUGGUGGAGAGAAAGGGGGGAGGAGUUGGAGGGUGGUGACGGAGAGAGGGUAGGG
ensembl:lncRNA